GAAAUGCGAUAAGUAAUGUGAAUUGCAGAAUUCAGUGAAUCAUCGAAUCUUUGAACGCACAUUGCGCCCGCUAGUUAUUCUGGCGGGCAUGCCUGUCCGAGCGUCAUUUCGACCAUCAAGCCCCUCGGGUUUGUGCUGGGGACCUGCGAGCUCUUCGCCUGCAGGCCCUGAAAUCAAGUGGCGGGCUCGCCGACACACCGAGCGCAGUAGCAUAAUUCUCGCUCAGGGCGUGCUGCGGGUUCCGGCCGUAAAAACGACCCCUCGAAGAGAGGAGACACGCAAAGGUUGACCUCGGAUCAGGUAGGAAUACCCGCUGAACUUAA
rnacentral:misc_RNA from 1 species